UACGUAGGGCGCAAGCGUUGUCCGGAAUUAUUGGGCGUAAAGAGCUCGUAGGCGGCCAGUUGCGUCCGCUGUGAAAUCCCGGGGCUUAACCCCGGGCGUGCAGUGGAUACGGGCUGGCUGGAGGCAGGCAGGGGAGACUGGAAUUCCUGGUGUAGCGGUGAAAUGCGCAGAUAUCAGGAGGAACACCGGUGGCGAAGGCGGGUCUCUGGGCCGAUACUGACGCUGAGGAGCGAAAGCAUGGGUAGCGAACAGG
rnacentral:rRNA from 1 species